rnacentral:rRNA from 1 species
AGCAAUCGAAGCAGUGAACUUAAGCCCCAGUAAACGGCGGCCGUAACUAUAACGCUCCUAAGGUAGCGAAAUUCCUUGUCGGGUAAGUUCCGACCCGCACGACAGGCGUAACGAUUUGGGCACUGUCUCAACAACAGACUCGGUGACAUUGUAAUUCCGGUGACGAUGCCCGCUACCUGCGCCACGCCGGAAAGACCCCAUCGAGCUUUACUGUAGCUUGACAUUGGGUC